rnacentral:misc_RNA from 1 species
GGUUAAACCAUUUGAAAUUCUUAUUGUUGGAGAUAUUAAAAUCUAUCAGCAGUCUCGACACACUUACAACCCAGAAUUCAAACUGCAGACUUCUAUCAUGCCUCCUUUACUAUAUAAGUUUGUGCACCAAGAAAUUUGUUCCAAACGACAGACUUAGUUUAUUGUUAUAUGUGGGACUGGGGAUUGCAGAUCCUAGUCCUACAGGCUUUUAAUCCUAGAAGCGAAAAGAGCUGCAUGCUUUGGAAUUGGAGCACAAAUUGGCUUCCAAAUGAGGGAUAUUCUUGAGGGUUCCUGGCUAGCUAGGGGCAUACA